CUGAACUACUCUGCUCAGCCUGGUGCCCCAAUCUUUGUGUCACAGGAACUGACCAUUCACAUUGACUGGCUGCAGGAGAGAGAAAAUUAUAUCCUGUGUGAGGCACUAUAUUCAGGUUUGGACUGAUGAUGAAUCAGAAAUACAAAAUAGGCCAGUUCCAGACAGAAACUUUAAGAAACAUUGAGAAGUUCCAUACACUUUCUUGUUUUUUUCCCCUCUGGUGGCAGAACGACAUGUCACAAACAUGGUCGUUUCUUCAAACUGCUUCUAGACUGAAAAAGGACAGUGAUAUACAGUAGGACACUCUCUUGUGAUGCUGGGCAGCUCCCAGUCAGCCACCUGAUCACAAUCUAUACACUUAUAACCAUUUGGUGCCCAUAUAAGCACUCUGUUUUUCACUUUCAUUUCAAUAUUCAAUAAAUGACA